AGCCAUGAAGGAACGUUCCGCCCACGGUAAGUGCGAAACCUAACCUGCUGCACUGCGCCUGCACUCCUAACUCUGCACUGCACGCCUAGACCUGACCGCUAUUCAGCCUGUAUCGCCGGCCACCAUAGCGAAAACAUCUCUGUCACCUGUUUCGCUGGUGGCAAUGGCGAAACCGGUGCCCACGUCUCGCCAACAUGCAUGGCGGAACACUUUGUAAAACUGACCCUUUGUUUCGAAACAGCUCCUUAUCGAGAAUAAGCAAUUCUGACCAGCUUGUAAUCGGAGUUCCUCGAGUCGAAGCCGAAGCCAAAGCAAGAAGAAUAGUCGUAACCGUAGUUGCAGGGUGAGGGGAGGCUAAUGAAUCGCCGAACACAAGGGUUGUAAAUGAUGACAGAUUGGUAUCCUUUAGUGGCGGAGGCCGUCACAGAGGGCAACGACGGAGGUGAAAAAGAGAUUGUUGAAGAAGGGAAGGGACAAGGUGGAGGAGUGGGUGAGGAAGGGGUCGUCACAGUGGAAAGAGUAGCCAAGGAGGAGAAGGGAGGGGGAGUGGCGGUGGUGGAGGGAGAUGAAGGAAGAACUGCAUAUUAGAGACCGCCAUGACUAAUCUUCUUUGGUGGAAGUCUACGAAGAAUUUCCGCCAAGAUUUCAUCAGGGAAUAGGUUAUCAGACAUUGUUCUUUCAACUUACGAUCAAAAUUAAUUUAUUCACGCCACUGUCUAACUUGGCCAAUUGGCUAUAUUUAUUAAUAAAAUGUUGCAGGUCUCACUGUCAAGGAAUCCCUUGCAAGUUGCAACUUUUUGUAUCAUUUACCAAUCACAUGCCGAAUAAAGAUUCACCUAGAAUCUUAUAUUAUCAUACACUUUGAAAGAAGAUGGUGUCUAUGCUAAACCAGUUUUGCAAAUGGUCUAUUGUGGAUCACUUUUGAACACCGUUAGAUUCUUCACCUCAUCUACACAUUGAUACUGUACGUGCAUUCUUAGUAUCUUUUUUUUUCCUCUCUCUUUCUUCCUUCCCUCCUCCGCUCCGACAAGUUCACCGCCGCUCGCCGCCACCAGAACCCCCCUCCAUUCUCUGACUGUCUGCCGCCACUCACAGCUGCCUGAUGCAAUAUAAUAGUUAUUACUAUUGAAAUACUUUUCUAAUGACUAAUCUAAAUACAUACCAAUAUUAUCCAAUUCGGAAAAAAGUAAGACAUAUUUAUAAAAGUCAUCUUACGAUGAUCUAGGAUGUGGAUGAGUUACUAUCUAUUAUGCAUUAUUGUAGACUAUUGUUUUUACAUUACAAUCAUUGUACAUCUCAUAUCAAAAAAGAAAACAGAAUAAAUAUCAUAUCAUUAAUUAUAAGA